AGAGUUUGAUCAUGGCUCAGGAUGAACGCUGGCGGCGUGCCUAACACAUGCAAGUCGAACGGAAUUUACAUGAAGCCUAGCGAUUGUAAAUUUAGUGGCGGACGGGUGAGUAACGCGUGGGUAACCUGCCUUGUACUGGGGGACAACAGUUGGAAACGACUGCUAAUACCGCAUAAAGCGCACAGCUUCGCAUGAAGCAGUGUGAAAAACUCCGGUGGUACAAGAUGGACCCGCGUCUGAUUAGCUGGUUGGUGAGGUAACGGCCACCAAGGCGACGAUCAGUAGCCGGCCUGAGAGGGUGAACGGCCACAUUGGGACUGAGACACGGCCCAAACUCCUACGGGAGCA
rnacentral:rRNA from 1 species